rnacentral:rRNA from 1 species
GGACGAACGCUGGCGGCGUGCCUAAUGAAUGCGAGUCGAACGAGAACUGGGUUGAGUCUUCGGACAAGACCCGGGGACAGUGGCGAACGGGUGAGUAACACGUGGGUAACCUGCCCCUUAGUCGGGCACAACAGGGGGAAACCUCUGCUAAUUCCCGAUAUGCUUACGCGGCACAAGUCGUGUAAGGAAAGCUCCGGCGCUAAGGGAUGGACCCGCGGUCGAUUAGCUAGUUGGUGAGGUAACGGCUCACCAAGGCGAUGAUCGAUAGCCGACCUGAGAGGGUGACCGGCCACACUGGGACUGAGACAUGGUCCAGACUCCUACGGGAGGCAGCAGUAGGGAAUAUUAGUAAUGGGCGAAAGCCUGAACUAGCAACGCCGCGUGUGCGAAGAAGGCCUUCGGGUCGUAAAGCACUUUUUGAGAGGAUGAGGAAGGACGGUACUCUCAGAAUAAGUCUCGGCUAACUACGUGCCAGCAGCCGCGGUAACACGUAGGAGGCAAACGUUAUCCGGAUUUACUGGGCGUAAAGCGCGUGUAGGUGGUUUGGUAAGUAGGGCGUGAAAGCUCCUGGCUCAACUGGGAGAGGACGUUCUAAACUGCCAAGCUUGAGGAUGGUAGAGGGAGGUGGAAUUCCGGGUGUAGCGGUGGAAUGCGCAGAUAUCCGGAGGAACACCAGUGGCGAAGGCGGCCUCCUGGACCACUCCUGACACUCAGACGCGAAAGCUAGGGUAGCAAACGGGAUUAGAGACCCCGGUAGUCCUAGCCCUAAACGAUGUAGACUUGGCGUCGGUGGUUUAAUCGCCAUCGGUGUCGUAGCUAACGCGAUAAGUCUACCGCCUGGGGACUACGGCCGCAAGGUUAAAACUAAAAGGAAUUGACGGGUCCCCGCACAAGCAGCGGAGCGUGUGGUUUAAUUCGAUGCUACACGAAGAACCUUACCUGGGUUUGACAUAGAGGUAGUAGGGAAGCGAAAGCGGACCGACCCUUCGGGGAGCCUCUACAGGUGUUGCAUGGCUGUCGUCAGCUCGUGUCGUGAGAUGUUCGGUUAAGUCCGCUAACGAGCGCAACCCUCGCUGUGUGUUACAAGUGUCACACGGUACUGCCGAUAUUAAGUCGGAGGAAGGUGGGGAUGACGUCAAGUCAGCAUGACCUUUAUAUCCAGGGCUACACACACGCUACAAUGGCCAGUACAAUGGGUUGCCAAGCCGCGAGGCGGAGCCAAUCCUAAAAAGCUGGCCUCAGUUCAGAUUGCAGUCUGCAACUCGACUGCAUGAAGUUGGAGUUGCUAGUAACCGCAGGUCAGCAAUACUGCGGUGAAUACGUUCCCGGGGAU